rnacentral:rRNA from 1 species
UACAGAGGUGGCGAGCGUUAUUCGGAUUUACUGGGCGUAAAGGGCGCGUAGGCGGCCACCGCAAGUCGACUGUGAAAACUCGGGGCUCAACUCCGAGCCUGCAGUCGAUACGGGCAGACUAGAGUUCGGUAGGGGAGACUGGAAUUCCUGGUGUAGCGGUGAAAUGCGCAGAUAUCAGGAGGAACACCGGUGGCGAAGGCGGGUCUCUGGGCCGAUACUGACGCUGAGGAGCGAAAGCGUGGGGAGCGAACAGG